rnacentral:lncRNA from 1 species
UGGUGAGUGUUCUCGUGAUAGACAUGGUGGAUGGUUUGCGGUGGUGGUGGUGGUGGUGGAUGGUGGUAUUCUGCCGUGUACGGAGGAGGGUAGACAUCAACACGGUUUGGAGGUGGUGGGUAAGCAAGAUGAGGUGGAGGAGGGUAGUGAGGUGGUGGUCCACCGCCGAAGUGUGGUGGAGGUGGGUACUGUGGUUCGUCGUCACGGCGGUGGUGGUGGUGGUGGUUGUGACCGUAUGGAUCCAUUACUUGAAAACAAAGCUGAACUGAUGAAGUUCCUCCGCAGGCAACGCCCAAACUUACAUAGGGGAGAUGAGAAUAUGCUACUUGUACAAUAUGCUAUAGAAAUUGUACAUUACUUUGAAUUUUACUAGUUGUUGGAAUAUGUUCUCAACUCAAUAUCACUUCCACAAUUACGAUUAUACCCUUAGUGUUAACAUGUACACCAUGUUGUAAGAAUAAUUAAAAAUAUAUUUAUAAGGUUAACAUAGUAAAUUUAUGUUGGUAUAAAUAUUUUGGGAAAAUAACGUGUCGUACUUGAAUUUUUGGUAGAUUAGCUAACAAGUAAAGACCACCUAUUAUUAAAUGAUACAUGUAUUUGGUAUGGUAGUUUUGUAUUUUUUUAUUUGUGUAUUUUGUUAAAAUUAACUAUCAAACUAUGCAUUCUUAAAAUUAAAUAAAAUUAAAAAAAAGUUACAAGCCCUUAAAAUUUAUAUUAAAUUUUUUUAAUUAAAAUGAGAUUUUUAAGCUCUUGAAAUCAUAGUUCCAAACCAAGGAGGUGUUUCGUUUAGUUUUUUCACAGCCAAAAGUCCUUUUUAAAAAAAAAAAAAAAAAAAAAAAAAAAAAAAAAAAAAAGAUGUUUGGCAAAACUAAUUUUAAAAACUACUUUUUAAGUUUUUACACAAAGAAAAUGAACUUUUUGAGUCAGAAAAUCCUGAUUUUUUGUAACUUUUCUAAAAAUGAUUUUUGAGCUGUGAAAAGCUAAGCUAAACACCCCGAAACUUUAUUUUAAUUCAAAGUUUUUGUUAAAAGUUGCCGAUUGUUAGAACGCUUUGUUUUGGAAUAUACCUUAAAUCACUAUAUUUUAUCUAUAUCUUAUCACAUUAUAAUUUGUAAACAAGUUAGAGUGGCGUUUGUUAAAGAUCACAAUAAUACGUUUUGAUAUUCGACCAUAUGAGGCGAUAAUAAGAUGUUAUAUCGUGUCUUUUUUAUGUUGAGCAUUAGAUUCGAGUUUUUAUGACUUGACUAGUAUGGUUCAUAAUCAUUUAGUUAUCAUUUCAGGGUGAGACAUGAAAACAACAAACCAAGGAAUCUUGAUUUUUUUAACCUAUCCCUUGAUUUACUGGAUGAGACAAUAACUUAUCAGAAUCAUUUUUGUGGUUUUGUUCAUGUUUAGGAACUUCUUUAACUUGUGUACAUUUGAGCAUUUAACUUGUUAUAUGUGUUCACACAUGGCUAUUGUUAUAUGUGUUCAAAUGUGUAUAAAAAAAUAAAGUUAACUAAACGUGAACAAGACGAAAAGAUAAUUACUCUUCCAAGUCAUUUUCCCUUUACCGGAUAAAUACACAUAAAACCCUUAAAUCUUUUUAGUUUUAGUUAGACUUGACAAUUUGUAUGUUCAUGUCAUGAAAACAUGUUAACUACGAAUUUAACACGAUACGAUUACACAAUAAGAAAUAAACUUUAGCUCAUUUUUCAAGAUCUAUUCGCGUCGCAUCGUGUCUCUCACUGAUUUGUGUCUCGAAUUGUCGGAUCUAGUUUUGGUUAAUUCAUCAUCUCAUGAUAAAUUAACAAACUAGUCUUUGUAAUCUUUAUUUUUUCAUCUUAAGUUUAAAUCAUAUCUUGUUUGUAACAAAAAAAGGAACUGCUAUUUAAAAAAUAUCACUAAUUUCUUGUGACCAUGAACAUAUUUCCAACAUUUACAAUAAAUAACAUUAAUGUUACAUUUGAUGCACUAGCUGAAAGGCGAGUUGUUACUUGAAAAGUUAGUUGAUAGCUAAAAAACUAGUUAUUAAAUAAAAAGCUAGCUAAUAGCUGAAAAAGUAACUGAUACAAAAUGUUGUUUGGUAAAAUUGGUUGAAAAAUAUAAAAUACAUAGAAAGAAAUUUAAAAGAAUAUGUUUCUAUAGUUAAUUAAGGGAUAUAUUUGAAAAGUAAAAAACUCCUAAAAAGCUAGUAUAAAUACUUUUUUAAAAAACUAAUUUAUAAUCUAAUUUUUGGCUUGCCAAAAAUGACAAAUUAAAAAAUCUCAAAAAAUAAACUACCUUAUUAGUUAGCUGCAGUGCUCCAAACACAGGCUAAAUCAUCAAAACCUACAAUUGUUCAUAGUGAGUUCUAAUAUAGAUGCUAGAAAGAAAACACCUUUAACCUGUUUCUGAAAUCGAAUCAUGACUUGACGCUUUGAAAUCGAAAAACAAUCCAAGAAAAUGCAGCUUCAAUUGCUUAAUCCCGGUCGCAAGUAUAGUCGACUCUCUAUUGGUCAAACUUUCCCACACAACCUAUACAUCACACUUAACGUUGUCUUAACCUUUUUCACCUAUAUGCAAGACGGCCCAUAUGAGAAGCAAUUCAACAACCUAAUUUUUUUAGCAUUCUAUAACGUCAUGGUGUUUACUUUAAACAUGUUCAUUUAAUUUAGCAGAAAAUGCAACGACAGUCUUAUGUUAUUUCAAACUUAAAAAUUAACCACCACAUUAUCAUCUUUUAAAAACAACCCAAUCAAAAUCAUUUGAGUUUAAGGAAAGCAAAAUGGAACAAAAGUAACAACCAAAACAUGUCAAAGUGGUAUCGCCUAAGAAAAAACAUACUACCCAAAAAUAAGUGUCCCCAAACUCACCAAUACAUGCUCUUAAGCUACAUGUACUAACCCACAGGCACAAAAUACAAGAAACAAGUGUCAGCUCCUGUUGAGUGAGUUAACAAAAGUUGCAUACAGUUAGAGGGAAACUUAGAAUUUCAAAACAGGUCAACAAUUCAAGUUACGACAAAACAUACGAUGCAACAAUUAUCACAUACAUAUUUUUUCCAUAUGUUAUCACCAAGAGCAUAAUUCACCCCAUAUUACCAAUUUCAUAUUUUAUUUAAUAAAUCACUAGAUAUCACCGAAUUCCUCAUUUAUUAUAUAGUUCACCACACAUCGCCAAAUACCAAUAUGAUGAAAUAUAAUUCAUCAAUCAUCACCAAAUAUAAUUCACCAAGUAACACUAAAUAUAAUUAACCCAAUAUCAUUAAAGGCACCUUAUGAUAAGCAUGAGUCUCUUAGUGCUUCCUAACCUAAGAGAACUAUCUGGCUCACUACUUGUGUGCCUACACCGAUAAAUGCUCUAAGUGGCACAUGACUUCCACCCGAAACACCAAACCCGAGACUGAUGUGAAUUAAGAGCAUUUGAUUUGGCAUGCGGAAUUGAAGAACACAAAGAACACAGUGAUUUGGGUGUCUAAUAGAUGUAUUCAAUCAUGAAAGGUGUUACAAAAAAUUAUAAGCUAGAUCUAGACAAAUAAAUAGCUCACACUCGCACUCUCAAUGUUACAUCUCUCAAGCAUACCUCUACAAGUGGUAUGAAAUCCAUUAUAUAUAAAGGUGUUUACAUAUCUUUCUCUCUCUCUCUCUCUCUCUCUCUCUCUCUUUGUCUCUCUCUCAUGUCAUAAGGCAUCACUACCACAUGCAAGUGGGUCUAUAAGAGUCAAACCAUUACAAAGUCAUUCAUGCAUAACUUUGCACCCUAACAUUCUCCCCCUCAAAGUUAGGAAUGGAUGACCCGCUUCAAUCUUCGAAAAUUAAGCAACUUCACGAACCAAGCCUCAAGCAUAACACAUGUAAAAAUGAACUUCAAAUCUUCAAUGACCUUCCAAUCCGGGUUCUAGAGUGUGAGACCAUACAAACCGAGCAUAAAAAGGCAAUUAGGAGUAUCCAAACCUCCACAAAAUUACCCAAAUUUGAGCACAAAAUCACACCCUAAAAAUCUUAUAUAAGUCCAAACCCAUCAUAAACUAAUCAUUUCCGAAUCUCAAUCAAAUAACUUCGUAAACUUUAAUUGCUAAAGGUCACUUCGGUCUUUAAGUCCGCAUAAUAUGAAAAGUUCAACUUUCGAAUUCUCAUACUUAAUUCUCUCCCCCUUUUAUAAUCAAAAAAUAAUUAUAAAACCAAAAAUGAAUUAGAAAGUGCUCAAUUUGGAAUUUUCUAUACAAAACUCCCCUUUAACACAUGGCAUAAACAUUUUUGCAUAAAUCGAGAAAAUCCAAAAAAAUAUCUCAAUUUUCGAAUUCGUUCUCGGACCGCCUUUGACGAAUUUUUAAAAGUUUGGGUAGAAACUAUCAAUUUCGAAAUUCUGUAGUGACCUGGUGCGUCCAAAACAACCUUAGAUCUGAAACUUUACCCCAACUGCGAAAUUGGGCAUAAAGUGUUAAUUCACAUUAACUGCAGGGACCCUGUUUCGAAAAUCUUCCCAUUUCUCAUACUCUUCAGCCCAAUGUGGAAAGUGGGUAAAUUCUACUAGCUUGCAAAAACUACAGGUGCUCAAAAUGGAAAUUCAGCUUUUAACACAAUUUUGUGUGACUCCAUGUCGAAGGUGGCUUAGUAUUGCCAAUUCAUUGAUAGUUGAGGGAUUUGAAUCGACACUUUCUGUUUCUUCUUCACUGCAUUCAUUAUCAAGUUAUGAUCAAGGACAUUUGACCAUAGCAAAUUGAUACCCAUUAUGAAGGUAUCUUCGACUUCUAAACACUGGAUUUUGAUACCUUCUCAAUCGAUAUUAGCAACAAUUGCAAGCUUCUCCUCCAUGCAUGGUACCUUGAUGAUGGCACACUUAUUGGAGAUUCAGAGGAGGUGGCCAAAGCGUUGGACAUCAUUACGGUGAUUGGCCCAAAAUUGGGCCUUCAACUGAAUAUCAAGAAAACCGAGCUCUUUUGGCCCUCGUGCGACGGUAGGAAGCUACGUGAGGGGCUAUUCCCGGCUGACAUCGGGAGGCCAUAUUUGGGGGUGAAACUUCUUGGGGGAGUUGUUAGUAGAGAUGCUAGUUUCAUUAGCAGCUUAGCCAUAAAGAGAGCCGAAACGCUGUGAAUUUGAUGCGUCUUCUUCCUCAAUUGUCUGACCCUCAGAGUGAGCUCCUUCUGCUUCGGUCUUGUAUGGGUAUUGCUAAGCUUUUCUUUGGGCUGAGGACGUGCCAACCCAUUCACAUGGAGGAGGCGGCAAUAUUUUUUGACAAUGGACUGCGCGGGGCCAUUGAGGACAUUAUGGUUUGUAGUGGCUCUUUCUUUGGUGACCUACAAUGGCGCAUUGUUUCCUUACCCAUCAGGUUUGGUGGUUUGGGUUUAUACUCGGCAGUAGAGGCUACUUCAUAUGAUUUUGUUGCCUCAAGGGCCCAAACUUGGGUAUUGCAAGACCACAUCUUACGGGAUAGCGGCAUAUAUAUAUGGUAUGGAUUCUGAUUAUGAUGGUGCCUUGGCUUCUCUUUGUAACAAGCUUCCAGAUUCUGACCUUAGCAGUUUUACUACUAAAGACACCGCCCCCCUAAAUCCCAGAGUACGCUGGCGAGUGCCCUUUUUCGUAAAAUUGUCCAAGAUAUGGAAGUUUAUCUCGACAUGACGGCCCGUCAGAAAACGGUUUUCCAGUGCUUACGUGCACCACAUGCCCAAGAUUUUCUUCUUGCUAUCCCUAUAGAUGGGAUUGGCCAACAUAUGUCUCAUGUGGAGUAUCCUACUAUCCUCAAAUAUCGACUCAUGAUUUCAAUAUUCCCAGCUGACGAGAUAUGUCCGGUGUGUCGCAAGGCAUGUUUGGACUCCUGUGGAGAGCAUGCAGUUCACUGUAAAGAACUCCCGGGGUUCAAAUACAGGCACGAUAUGGUCAGAGAUAUUUUGUUUGAUAUAUUUAAGUGUGCAGGAGUUUCUGCUAAGAAAGAGGCACAUGUGAAUUUCUUGACUGACCCGAUAGAAGGAAGGUCAACCCUUAGACCAGCUGACAUUUUGAUUUUUGGAUGGGUCGGAGGGAAACAUGCAUGUGUGGACCUUAUAGGGGUAUCCCCUCUCGUGGGCUUGAGGGCGGGGGGUUUCACGGCAGGACUGGCUGCUUUAAAAGCUGCUACAGGUAAAGUCAACAAACAUGAGAAAUCGUGCAUGGAAAAUCAACACGUGUUCAUACCAUUUGCGUUUGAUAGGUUUGGUUUCCUCGCACUGGAUGCGGUAGAGCUUCUUAAUAGAGUACAACGGAUCAUGCAUUGCAAUGGUAUAUCCCCUAGUUCUAUGAAUGUAGUCUUUAAAAGAUUGAGCUUUGCUAUACAAAAAGGCAUAGCGGCGCAGCUUGUUGCCCAUUUGCCAUCUCACUUGUUGUACGAUGAUAAUUAAAAUAUAACAAGAUAAAUAAAAAAGCCAUAAUCUUCGUUCUCGAUGCAAACUAUAAACGCAUAGCGAAGGUACCAAAUCUCGAUCCAUAGAUGUCGAACUCGUCUAUUUUCACUACUAGAAAAACAGCCUUUUAUGACGCUCAUUGCGCGUCGUAAAAGGCUCAGACGACGUGCAAAUGCGCGUCAAGGAAGGCCCUGUCAUAAAGAGAGACAACGCGCUUUUGCACGUCGUCUAUAGACGACGCGCAUUUACGACACUCAUUUACGACUCGCAAUUACGACGCUCGUUUACGACACGCAAUGCGUAUCAAGGAAGGCCCUGUCAUAAAGGAAGACGACACGCAUUCGCAUGUCGUAACCUUACGACGCGCGUGUUAAUGACACGCAAUGCGUAUCAAGAAAGCCCCUGUCAAGAAAGGCCAUGUCAUAAAUGAAGAUGACGCACAUUUUUGCGUAUCGUAAAUUUAAAUAUUUAAAAAAUAUAUAUUUAUAUAUUUAUGAAUUUUUAAAUUAAAUUUGCAUUUAAUGUGUCAUAAUAGAAAUAAAAUACCAUAUACAAAAAAAUACAAUCCAUUGCAUAAAAUUUAAUGUCAUACAAUUCUAUUUCUUACAAUAUAUAACUUUGUAUCCAUCUAAUCUACUUUAUGUUUCAUACUAACAAUUGAAAUGAAGAAUGCAACAUUUGCAUUUUCAGCAUCUUAUCUCUUUCAACUUGAGCUUUCUUUUCCACUUCUAACUCCAGGGCUAUUCGCUUUCAUCAACCCUGUAAACACAACACAAAAUCACUUGUCAUUUUCAUUCUACUUUUAAAAUUAAUUCUUACUAGGACAUUCUACUUUUAAAAGCUCAAAACCAUUACUUGUUUGUGCAGUUUAAGCUCCAACACGACUGCAAAAGCUCAAAACCAUUACUUUUUUUUUGGAGUCUAUACAAACAUAAAUGUCAUCAAACAAGUGAACAUGUCGUGCAGAGAAUAACAACGUACUUUCAUAAAUAAAUAAAAUUAUGUUUCUUUUCUUGCAUUUAACCUACAACACAAAACUUACCUACAUUAUGUGUUGGUAAAUAUCAUGCACAGGUUGUCCAAGUUUCAGCUUGGGAAGAAACACUAACAACAACACAUAGUAUGUAUCAAAAGUUGGAUCAUAGUAGUAAUUUUCUAGCACAAAAGUAGUAGUAAUAGAAAAAAUACACUCACACACAUGAAAUGAAAGUGUUGGUUGGGUAUUUCUAGCAUUAGAAAAUAACCCACUUGACAUCCUCCUUGAGAGUAGGUAGGGUUCUAACCACAGUAGCAUUUGGCCUUGGCACAUGGUGCUCCUUGUCCCACCACCAGCACCAACAACAACAACAGAACCAUGUAGACUUGUACCUGAAAGGUAGCCAGAUGAGCAUAGUAUGUGUGUGGUAUUUACCAAUAGACACAAAAUGAGUGCACCUUGAAUACCUGUCUAAACAUAAUUUAAAUAAUUAAAACAAAUCUUACUUAAUUCAAAAAUAUAAAACAAAACAAAAUAAAAAGACUGAUCAAAAUGACACAAAUAUUGACAUAUGUGUAACACAGGUUGUUUGUGAGUGAUUGCAGAGUAUCAACAUUCACAAUAUGCAGAUUCUUAUAAUGAACAUUCUUGUGAUUGAAGAAAUGGAAAGACAUGUACCGUAAAACAUAGUGUUGACAUGUGAAGCCUUUUGGAGGAAAGAUCGAAUGCAUUCAAAUAUUUUUCUUUCAUAACUUGCAGUGCCUAAAUUUACAAAUUUUAACAAGAUAUGAACCAAAGGGAAAAAAGUCAUUUUUUGCAACACAAAUGGAUUUAGUACCUGACUACACAGACUUUAGCUACAACUGCUCUUGCAAUGGUUUUGGUUUCAUUCUAAAGGGUAUUCAAGUAAUACUUGUUCAAACUUUAAUUAAUUAAGACUUUAGCUACAACUGCUCUUCCCAGUCAAAACGUAAAACAUAAGUUCAAUAACUUUAAUUAAUUAAGAAACAACUUUAAUCAAUAACUUUAAUUAAUUAAGAAACAACUGAUUAGCAAUGAGUCAAUGACUUAAUCCGUUAGUGAACAAUAAAUACAUAAAUACUACAUAGAAAUUGAGAGACACGAGAUUAGAAUGACACAAUAGUUUUUAAUGACAUUAAUUAUGACACAAUAGUUUUUAAUGGCAUUAAUUUCUAUAUCAGUUACAAUAUAGAUAUCACAGAGAGUCAGAGACAACUAACGUACGUUAAUUUCUAACUUCCAAGUUCUAACCAUCACAAACAUUGAGAUGGAGAAAGAAAGAAAACAGAGUAUAUAAAAAAUCUGGUAUCUUUGAGAAAUUGAGAUAUCACAGGGGUAUAAAUGUCGGAUACAAAAAUUCUGGGUAAUACAUUGAGAUAUCAUCAUAUCAAAGGGGCAUAACGGUCAUAUAUGAUAUAACUAUACAUACAAAAAGCUGCCGUCGUUAAAUAAGUCGCAAGGGAGGCUUGGUCGGGAGACAAGACUAGAGAGUAUGAUGAAGCGAUGAGAUGUGUUCUCUUGACUUAGUCAACUAAAAACCCUAAAACGUGGCUUUUUAUACCAGAUUUAAAAAAAUAAAAAAUAAAAAAUAAAAUUAAUCUCCUAAUCGCUACGUCGCUUUUCAGUCGCCAUGAACCUCAUAGCGACAAUAAGUCGCCUCGCCUCGCUAAUCGCUAUAGCGACCAUGACGAUCGCUAUUGACAUCAAUGCUUUCAUUUAAUUUUAUCUUUUUAUACCAGAUUUAAAAAAAUAAAAAAUGAAGAAAAAUAAGUAAAUCAUAAUAACAACAAAAUAAAUACUUUAAAUUAAAAAAAAAGGUAGGAAAAACCUUUGUGGUGUAUAAACCAUCAAGCUCAAGAGCCGAACCAGCAGCAACAACAACUUCUUUAUUUGCCCCUUUAAUCUGUAUAUAUGGCCCCGAGACAUCUUGCAAAUGAUCAAACUCCAUUAAAAGCUAUAAGGGCAAAAUGGUCAUAUUAAAAAAAAUAAGUGUUAGAUUUAACAAAAGAAACCUAGAGGACUGUAUGUGCAAGAAAAUAAAAAAAUUCAGAUGACCAAUUUUGUAAUUUUACACAUAAAAAUAUUUUACCUUUCCAUCUUGGUAGAUAUAUGGAAAUGCUUCAAUGUAAGCUACAGCAUGAUACCUGAAAACCAUUUUAAUAGAUAAAAUAUUUAUAUAAAUGAUAAUAAUUGCUUCAUAUAAAACCAAUGUAUUUUAAUUUUUUGAGAAUAAUGGUAAUAAAGCAAGAUACUCCUAUGGGAUGCUGUUCUGUCUCCUCAAGAAUGCAUAUGUAUAACAUUUGAGAGAGGCAUGGGCUGUUAAUAGUCUUAUCUUGAUCUAGAAAAAAAUAAUGGUAGAAUUAAUAGAAAUUCCAUCUGAAACAUCUAUGUCAAGAAAGAAGAUUAAGCUAGUGUUUAAUAUGAUGAAAUUGUUCAACGAAUUUUAUUUUUUCUGAUGGAAUGGAAAUGAGCAUGCUUGAAGAAAUGUGAUUCCCUCCAUCAACAAAUUUUAGCAUUGAGACAAAAGCACAUGAACUUUUUUCUUGGCUACCAGAUAUACGUCUGAAGAUCUCAAAGAGACAUUCAUCAUGAAGGGAAUCAAUGGUGCUUUGCUGCUUUUUGAAGAUUUUUCCAGAGAACACAAAUGGGGCACUGACUCUUGACCUCUUGCGAGGGGGGAAGUACACAUCGACCUGGGCUUGAAGGUCUUUCACACCUCUUUUCAGAUUCUUGAUGUUUACAUUUCUUCAGAGAAGAAGGUUAAUGGAGUAUCAGAUUGGUACAGUGUUCUUGGUGUGGACCAAAUGCAAAAUUUCGGGUUGUCACAAAAUUAACAUGAAAUCCGGGUCAUCUCACGUAUAUAUUGGCCCUAACUUGCCCAAAAUCCCAUGCGUAAUACUUUUUCCAAAUUCUUUGAUAAAUAACCACUGGCAGUGACAUACUAAACCAUAUUUUAUGAAUUUAUAAUUAUGACAUUCCAUUCAACUGUUUUUUUAAUUAAUUCCCAUCAUUCAACGUCUUUAAAGUACAAAUAAAACUUAUAUUUUCACUAAAAAUAACUGGCGUUGUACUUUGGUAAAUGUCCAUACCAACCAAUUUAUCGACAUUCCACUCUAGCUGAUUGUGAUUUAAACAUAUUUCUUACAUAAAACAAUGCUCUUUCAAUACAUUUCUUGCCUUCUAUAACAUGAUCUUAAAAUUUCGUACAUUGAGGCCCAUAUAUUCGAAAUUACCUAUUUAAGCAUCAUACUUUAAGCUUUGCUAAAUAAUGGCAUAACCAUUAUGACUGCUUAUGUGAAAUCUAUAAUCAUUAUGAUAUAUUACAAUUACAUCUAAAGUUAAUUCUUGGCAGAUUAAAAUCCAUUUAUACAUUUUUCAUGUUAAAAAUAUACCACUUAUAAACAUAAUUUCAUAACUUGAGACUUUUAACAAAUAAAUUACAAACAACUUGGGUACCCUUGAAUAUACAUGGUCAAUAUAUUUUUGGAGUCUUAUAAUUAUGGAAAGGCGUGUUAGUAUUCAAUGAUAUGAAGUUUAAUAACCAUUAAAUUCUUCAAUAAAAAACAAAACUUUUAAUUAUUAAAAUAUGAUGUCUCGUUGAAUUUGUAAAGUUUAAUGCAUUUUAAAGUAGGAUUAUAUGUGUCAAUCAUUUAAAAUCUAACAAGUUUAAUACCUUACGGAGGCCCGAAAUAACAUAUAAAAAUAUCCAAAACAACACUAUCCAUAGGUACUUAAACAUGUGAUCAUUCAUGGUCGAAGAUUAAACUCCACACUAACACGCAAUCCUGCGCAAAACCAUAACAUAAAGCAGGGGUUAAGGACCAAUUGCAUAAGUUGAUAAACAAAUCGGCAUUACAAAAUAAAGUAAAAGUUGACAAGAGAGCAUGCAUUUUUUAUCAUAAAGAUCGUUUGAUAGAUCAAAAAACCAAAUGGUUUCAAUCUUUUUAAUUUUAAUGUAAGAUUCUUUAACAAUUAAGAGACAAUAUGAAGGUCCAGGUAACUUUUCAAUCGAACCAUUACUAGAGUUUAUAUAACAAUCCCUUAUUUCAUAACAAGAUUAUAACAAAACCCUUUUCUUUUUAAGUGAAAUUUGGCAAACAAAUAAAUAAAUAAAUUGAUAAAUAUGGAAGAAUAUUAUUGAGUAAAGUUUGCGCAAAAGACUUACAAUACGGGAAUAUGAUCCACUUUUGGUUAUCGCCAUCAUUCCAUUCCCACAAAAUAAUUUCAGUGCCGUCAUGAACACCACCAUAUUCUUUAACACCCUUACAUGCAUCUAGAUGAAGAUGAAUAUUGGUGACUGUCCUAAAUGACCUAUAACCAUCACCCAAGUCAUUGCCCUCACUCCAAAGAACACUCAUGUCGACUUCAUUAGGGUUGUAUUUCUUCAGCUGAACCUGAGAAAUAAUUUACAAGUACACACACACACACGUGAUAAGUGAUUUAAAGUUUAUAUAUAUUAUUACACUAAGCAUAAUCAAUCACUUUCAUUCAAAACAUGAUAAAAAGUUAUUUUUUUUUCAAUUUUUAGCCGACAAAAGUAGAAUGGCAUACCGGAUAAGUUACACCGAUUGAAAAUUUCAUAGCUUCACCGGUGGCUUUGUUGACCAAGGCAAAAGCGGGAUUACCUUUUUCAUCCUUAAUGCUCCUACCAAAUUUCUCGUCUUUGAUCCAAUGCUGUUAAUUUAGAUGUCAAACAAAUUGGUGUUGGUGAAACAGUUGAAGAAAGAGCAAGCUCAUAUACUAUCAAGAAACUGAAAACAAGAAACCUGAUGAAGAUCAGAAGAAUUAGUUGGAGCAAGAAUCACUUUUCCAUUACGUAUAGUGAGAGAGUAAUCAGUUUUGGCCUUGGUAUAGACCCGAAAUGUGGGUUUAUUGUCCAUAUAAUUUAUGGGGUUUUGAUGGUUAGUGUGUGAACAUAUAAUCGGAGGAAUGUGAAGGCAAUGGUGGCUGCACUGAGGAGAGACAUGGUUGGAAGGUUGUGCUGGUGAUGCCAGACGGUGGCACUCUGCCAGGUAGUAAUCGAAGGCAUCAGGUGGCUUUCCGUUGUGGCCGUUGGCGUUCGAAGUUGCUGGUAGAGAAGAUACGUCAUCACAGUGGAGGCUGGUGGCGUUCUGGUGGUUGAGCCGGGUAAGGUGGAGAAGGAGGUGAGUAAGGUGAAUCGACAUUUCUUUGUAGCUUUGAAACUGAUGGAAGGGAGGUGGAAGAAGUGAAAAAGGUGGUUCUUCACGGUGGUGGUGGUUCACGUGAGGUGGUUGUUCAUACUGGUUAUCGGUGUUGACCGGAGGUGGGUAUUGUUGUUCCUUGUCUUUGGGGUGAUCGGAGGUGAGAGUCAUUGCUUGAAAACCACGAGUAAACAAGAACUUAGCGACCAGAUAACAUGAUAAUCAGUAAUUAACCAUGGCUUACCUUCAAUUUCUUCGGAAAAAAAUACUAUCAGCUGCAGCCAAUGACUUCUUCACUACAGAUGUUUCUUUCUUAAUCAAUAAGUGUUAGACUUCUUACCCAUCCUGUCCAUUUUAUAAGGGAGGAAGGCUAAUCGCUUACGAACUGUUCGUUCUCCUUCAAACGCAACCGCCAAACGUCAGGAUUGGUCUUCAAUUUUGCCUUCCCAAGAAGAAAUAUUUCAUGUUUUCUCCCUGGCCAAAGUAUAAUCAUUUAGCAUCUAGACGGCCGUCAUUAGGGAAGAGCAGAAAAAGGAGUUUUUGACCAUAAGAGAGAGUGAUUGGAAAAAGUAUUUACCAUUCUAGGGUACUUUCAAGUUUUUUUACCAGACUAGUGUUUCUUGUCAUUUUUCUUUAUUUUUCAGUUUUCCUUAAUUUCUUUUUUAUUUUAAAUAUCCAAUUUUUUCCUUUCUCUAUAUUUCACCUUCUUACUGUUUUUUUAUAUUUUUUUUAAAUGAUAGAUUUUAUUUCAGUUUUUUUUGUUUAAUUUUAAAUAUCCAUUUUUCUUAUACAAACCUUUGAACAUCAAAUUUUAGCCACAACAAAUUAAAAAUACAAUAUAUUUUAACAUGCAAAAACUCUAACAUUACAUAUAUAAUAUUUUUAAUGUAAAAAAAACUCAAUAAAUUAAAAAACACCACAAUUAAAAAAUAGAAUAUUAGACAUAUUCUAUGAUCUUGUAUCCUUUGUUUAUUUAUUGUUUUAUUCCAUUCAUCCAAAUAAACCAUUAAAAAUAAUCUUUAUUUGUUUUCUAUAAUUCAGAGGUACGGAUUUAUUUUGGUAAAACACUAAAUUAUGCAAUUAGUUACUAUAUUUUCUUUUACUAAUUUUAUAUCAAACUAGUUUUCUAAUCAAUUUCUACAAUCAUAUUGAAUUCGCUAUCAAUUAUUAGUUUUUUUUUUUUUUUUUUUUUUACCAUAUUGAUUGUAUAUUUAAACAAUAAAAUAUUAUUAUAUACAACAUCCUUACAUGAAAAAAAAUCAUUAGGCCUCCCAUUUUCCUUGAACCGGUGAUUUAUAUUAAAUACAGGUUUCUGGUUGUUUAAUACAAACUACAAAAAAACAAAUUCAUUUAAAUUUAAAGGAAAAAGAAUUAUGUCUGAUUGAAUUAUAUAAACUUUCUACAUCUAUUCUACGCUUAUUGAUUUUCUACGAAAAGAUAUUUGUUAACUAUAUGAAAACUAAAAUAACAAAGGUCUUCAAAUUCUAUUAUAUAAUAUUAGAAAACAAAAGCAUUACACAAUUGGGCCACUUAAUUCAUACUUAUGGAAGUGAAUUUAGCUUUUCUUUUUAAAUUUUUUAUAUAUUAUAAUAAAUAUGAAGAGAGUAGUAACUAGUUGGAGAUAUUAUAUAACGCAAAAAUUGAUCAGGGUAUUAUGGGGAAUGUGGGAAAAGAGGUGGUUACAUGGAGGUGACUGGUUUUAGUCCCGAACUCAGGGAACAAAUCCAGAAGGUGGCAUCAAUGAAUCUUUGUUCGAACAUUUCGAGUCAAAUUCUUGCAAGGCGUGCAAAGGUCAGUUAGUUAAUUUGUUUGUAAUUCUUAAUUUCUUGAUAUAUCUUAAUUUCUUUUUCCUUCACAUAUUGAAACUACAGAUAUUGGAAGAUGCACUGGAUAAUUUAGAGGGUGUUACCUGCAACAAAGCAGAAGGUGCAAUGUAUCUUUUCCCACAAGUUAAGCUUCCUAAUAAGGCCAUAAAAGAGGCAGAGAAAGCUAAAAAAAUUUCGAAUGCAUAUUAUGUACUUUGCCUUAAGGGUUUUGUAGUUGGCAUCAAUGUAUCAAGGGAUUGCGGGACACCACUGCUGCUGUUUUGUGUUGUUUUGCUCCUUUGAGACUAUUUAUGUUUUGUUGUUUUGCAGUUUGUUGCUUACUUGUUAAAUUCCAUUUGUUGCUGUUUUAAGAUCAUGUUUUUUUAAUUGUUUUAGUUUAUAUCUUGAAAUCCUAUUUCUUAUAAAAGUUAAUUUCAAUGGCAUGUAUAAAAUAAAAAAACUAAAUAUUCAAAAAACCGGGUAUCCGGAACCGGAACCGAUCUUGGCGGUUCCGGGAGCAGUUCCAAAUUUCUAGGAACUGGUGUAGGCGGUUCCGGUUCCAAUACCAAUAAUUUCAAAACCGCCGGUUCCGGGAGCGGUUCCAGUUCCAGCUAAAAUAGGCGGGUACCCGGUUAUGCCCAUCCUUAACCAGCAUGACACAUUUUCAUAAUUGGUUACUCAUAGUUUGCAAAAUAUCUUAUUUUGAGUAUUUUCAAGGAAAAUGUUACACCAUAAGUCCCUAUGGUGUACAAAAUUACAUGAAAGCUCUUCCUACCGUUAAAUCUAACUUUUCAAGUGUUAAAUUUUAAUAAAAAAAAAAUAGUAUUUUCCACUUUUACCAAACUGCAAUAUACCACAAACCUCAAGGACCAUUUGUGUAAUUUUGUAUAUUUGAAAUUUUAUAUAUAUAUAUAUAUAAUUUUAAUAUUUUGAUAACUUUUUUUUUUCUUUUUGACAUUUUGUUCUUUAUUUUUAUUUUAUAAUUUUAGUUAUUUAUGGUUUUUUUUUAUUAUUUUUAUUUAUUUUGAUUCAAGUAAUAAAAAAUAAAAAAUAAAUAAAAAAAAACAAAAACUCAAACAUCAAAAUUGUAAUAUACUCUAAUAUAUUAAAACAAUUUACAUUUUUCAUCUUUUUUUUUUUUCGUAUUUUUUCUUUUACUUUUUCAUAUUUUUUUAAAUAUUUUUUGUAUUAUUUUUUAAUUUUUUCCUAUAUUUAAUUUUUCGUUGUUUCGUUUUAUUUUUCAUCAAUUUGAUAACUUUUUUUUUGACAUUUUCCAAAAAGUAUAAAAUAUAUGAAUAUAUUAGAGUAUAUUACAAUUUUUGUGUUUGAGUUUUUCUGGUUUCCUAUUUUUUAUUAUUAUUUUGGUUAUUUAUGGUUUUUGUAACUUUUUUUUUUAUUUUGAUUCGAUUAAAUAAAAUAGUUAUAUUUACAAAUAUAAAUAAAAAAAAUAAACAUAAUUUUUUUAUUUACUCGAAUCAAAAUAAAAAAAAAGUUACAAAAACCAUAAAUAACCAAAAUUAUUAAAAAAAUAGAAAAUAAAAAAAAAAACUUAAACACCAAAAUUGUAAUAUACUCUAAUAUUAUAACACUUGGAUGUUGGUAUGUUCUUAUUUGCCUUUUUUGUUUAAAUUAUUGCAAUAAUGGUCCUUGGAGUAGUACGUGGGAGAAUGUUGGAUUAGGUUUCUAAGCCAAUAACUAAAUUAGUAUAAUCUUGAAUUAUUAGCAAAGUCAUUUUAGGUUGCCCUCAAACCUAGUAAUAUACUGGAAUGCAUUUUGGAGAGAGAAACUGAUUUAUUAAUUUAUUAUUUGGUUAAUAAAUUAAUUAGACACCAAAAUAAAUAAUUUAUUAAUAUAUUAUACGAAUAAUAUAUUAAUUAGAAAUAAUAUUAUUUAAUUAAAAAUUAAUCACAAAUUAACUGGAAUUAAUUUUGGGAUUAAUUGGAUUAAUUAAAAGUGGAAGUACUAAAAAUGAUAAUGUUUAAAAGUUGAACAUUGAGCAAUUCUAGAAACUCCCAUAGGGGGGAUGGUUCUAGAGAAGUUCUAGAUGGUUUCUAGAGCUUUUCUUGGGGUCUAAAGAAACUUAGAUGCCUUAAGGGAAAAGCAAAAGGGAUAAGGUUUGUUCAAUGAAACUGUCUUAUCAUAUCAUCCCUUAGUCACAUAUAUAAACCCUCUUGGGUUAUGAUUUUCGUCACCCCUUUACAAUAGAACUGAAAAUUUCCUUCCUCCUCCCCUAUCCUCUUUAGCCUCCAACUUUCUAUGGUUUGGGUGUGAGCAAUUAGAGACACUAGACUUCUAGUGCUUGCUUUCUAAAGACCAACAAAGGAAGUACUACUAGUUUACUUGCAAUAACAAACUAAUGUAUGUAUUUUCUAAUAACCCUUUAGUGUCUUCGAAAAUAACAAUGUACUUUUGGGGUUCUUGAUAUUUAAUAUUUGUUUGCAAAUCAUAGUGACAACAUAAAGUCUUUAGGGUGCAUGUGAACUUAGGGUUCGUGUUUUUCCGACAAAACAAAAUUUGGUAACAUAUAAAAUCAAUCAUUUUUUCCUCAUGAGACUUGUGAAAGGAUCAAAUUUCCUUAUCUAAUCAGCAUAUAAGUUUUUAAGUAUGUUGCUAUUAAUUUGAAAGUAAGACAAAAACAGUGGGACAAUUUAUAGUCAUGUUUUUUUAUAUGCUACUAUUAUGCAGGAUUCCUUACCAACCAUUGCAAAACGACUCCUCGAAGUACCCAAAGAUAUUUAGAUGUUUUUUCAAAUGUUUAGCUGUAUUUGACAUUUAUAUAGAUAUUCAAUUUAAAAUUUAAAAACAAUGUUGAAAAACAAUGGAUAUUUUAUAAAUAUCUAUGUGCUACAAUUUAAUUAAUAAUUUUAUUUUAUAUUAUAGUUAAAAAAAUUAUGUAGACAUAAGUAGCUUAAAUUAUAGAAUCACAUGAGUAUUUACCGACCGCAAAAUAUGCUAGAAAAUAUUUUUUGGUUGUAAAAAAUAAAAAGUACCACUAAAAUCUUAAAAUAUGUAACUAAAAGAAGCAUGGAUUUUUGACUCACAUGAUCUUUCAAUGGUACAAAAUAUGUGCCAUGAAAACAUUUCUUUUACCGUGACAAAUAGAAAAUGCCACUAUAAGCCUAAAAAAAAUUAAAACGACACAAACAAAAAGUGUUAAUUAAAGGGUUUAGUGGGAACAUUUCUAGUAGCACUUAUUAUGCAUGUCCUUGAUUAUCUGAGAAGCUUUUCGUGUUAUUUUUUUGGGGGGGUUUUAGUGGCAUUUUUUGUGUUCAACUAAUUGACAUUUUUUUGUAGUGAUAUGUAUUGAUCAACUAAGCUCGAAGGUAAAACACAAUUUACCAAAAAACAUCUUACUUAACCAUAAACUAACAUCUACAUGAUUUGUAUUGAAAUGAAAAUUAUGGAUGAAGUUCAUACUUCUUGAACACCAGAAAUCACUAAUGGAAUAAUGAUGAGGAAGAAUGCCUACACAAGACCACAAAUUUCACCGAAACACCCAUUUAGGACUUCCAAACUUCAAAGAAAAAAAAAACAACUCUCUAAAAGGCCCUCUCUAACUUGAGUUGUUGGCUGCAAAUAGGAUUACAAACCCGCAUUUUAGGGUUAGCCAUCUUUAAAUAGUCUCUAAAUUACAUAUUUGGCCCUUAAAGUAUCACAAAAUGACCCCAAAACCAACUUAAGCCCUAUUUUAUUACACUUAAGCCCCCACAAAUCGACUUUAAAUCAAGGAAAAUGUUAGUUUAUGAAGGAAACUUAACGGAAAAUUAACACAAAAUCCGGGUCAUCUCACGUAUAUAUUGGCCCUAACUUGCCCAAAAUCCCAUGCAUAAUUCUUUUUCCAAAUUCUUUGAUAAAUAACCACUGACAUACUAAACCCUAUUUUAUGAAUUUAUAAUUAUGACAUUCCAUUGAACUGUUUUUUUUUUAAUUAAUUCCCAUCAUUCAACGUCUUUAAAGUACAAAUAAAACUUAUAUUUUCACUAAAAAUAAACUGGCGUUGUACUUUGGUAAAUGUCCAUACCAACCAAUUUAUCGACAUUCCACUCUAGCUGAUUGUGAUUUAAACAUAUUUCUUACAUAAAACAAUGCUCUUUCAAUACAUUUCUUGCCUUCUAUAACAUUAUCUUAAAAUUUCGUACAUUGAGGCCCAUAUAUUCGAAAUUACCUAUUUAAGCAUCAUACUUCAAGCUUUGCUAAAUAAUGGCACAACCAUUAUGACUGCUUAUGUGAAAUCUAUAAUCAUUAUGAUAUAUUACAAUUACAUCUAAAGUUAAUUCUUGGCAGAUUAAAAUCCAUUUUUACAUUUUUCAUGUCGAAAAUAUACCACUUAUAAACAUAAUUUCAUAACUUGAGACUUUUAACAAAUAAAUUACUAACAACUUGGGUACCCUUGAAUAUACAUGGUCAAUAUAUUUUUGGAGUCUUAUAAUUAUGGUAAGGCGUGUUACUAUUCAAUGAUAUGAAGUUUAAUAACCAUUAAAUUCUUCAAUAAAAAACAAAACUUUUAAUUAUUAAAAUAUGAUGUCUCGUUGAAGUUGUAAAGUUUAAUGCAUUUUAAAGUAGGAUUAUAUGUGUCAAUCCAUUAAAAUCUAACAAGUUUAAUACGUUACGGAGCCCCGAAAUAACAUAUAAAAAUAUCCAAAACAACACUAUCCAUAGGUACUUAAACAUGUGAUCAUUCGAAAAAUACAUGAACGCCGAGUGCCAUGGAACAUAGCAUGCUCAUGGUCGAAGAUUAAGCUCCACACUAACACGCAAUCCUGCGCAAAACCAUAACAUAAAGCAGGGGUUAAGGACCAAUUGCAUAAGUUGAUAAACAAAUCGGCAUUACAAAAUAAGGUAAAAGUUGACAAGAGAGCAUGCAUUUUUUUUAUCAUAAAGAUCGUUUGAUAGAUCAAAAAACCAAAUGGUNNNNNNNNNNNNNNNNNNNNNNNNNNNNNNNNNNNNNNNNNNNNNNNNNNNNNNNNNNNNNNNNNNNNNNNNNNNNNNNNNNNNNNNNNNNNNNNNNNNNAAGAAUCACUUUUCCAUUACGUAUAGUGAGAGAGUAAUCAGUUUUUGCCUUGGUAUAGACCCGAAAUGUGGGUUUAUUGUCCAUAUAAUUUGUGGGUGGACGGAUAAUCGGAGGAAUGUGAAGGUUGUGGUGGCAGCUGCUCACGGGAGAGACAUGGUAGAAAGGUUGCGGUGGUGAUGCCAGAAGGUGGUACUCUGGGAGGUAAGAAUCAAAAAUUUCAGGCGGUUGUUCAUUGUGGCUGUUAGCAAUCGGAUUUGGUGGUAGAUGAGAUUCAUCAUGACAGUCGGGGCAGGAGGCGUUGUGGUGAUUGAGACGAAGGUGGAAGAAGAGGUUGGAAAGGCAAAUCAAAACAUCUUUGUAACUUCGAAACUCAUGGAAAGGAGGUGGAAGAGGAAAAAAGGGUGGUUGUUCACGGUUGUAAUGGUGGUUUACGUGAGGUGGUGGAAGUGGUUGUUCAUAAUGGUUACCGGUGUUCAUCGGAGGUGGGUAUUGUGGUUCCU